CUCAACCCCAACCAAACCCUAGAGCUAGCCGCCACCCCUCCCUUUUCGUCUUCUUCGACGAACCAGACAACCCCACCCCCCUCGGCUUCAUCUCCUUCAAGACCCACCCCCUCAGAUCAUCAUCUUCUUCAAUACAACACAAAACCCUAGACCCCUAAGCCGCCGGCCAGCCUCUGGACCACCACCAAACGACCACCCCUGUGACCUAGCGCCGUUGUUCACCUCCAAACGACCACACACACACAGUCGUCGUUGGACCGAGAAUUGGCGAAAACCAUGGCCAUCGUUGCUCAUGCUUCUUCCCGUUAGCCAAAACUAGUCAAAACCUUGAACAUCAGCUGCUACUCUCUUCAUCUUCCUCCUCCAGCAGCUCGCCGGAAAAAUGAUUUCCAGCCGAAAACCCAAACACACCAUCAGCAGCCACCAACGUGUCCAGCUUUGAAUCUCGUUUGUGAAUCUGCCCCUGCUUCGUUCAAGUUUGGAGAUCAACGUUCAAGUUUUAUUUUGGCGAAGGUUCGAGGUAGCAGUCGGUCUCCGUCCGAGGUUCUUCGAUUCCCGGCAAGUUCCAAAAUCGAAGUUCUGUUGGUCCUGGUCACAUCCCUAUCUGAAUUUGGAGCUGCAAAUCAACUAAGCUCAGGUACACGUUCUGAAACUCGAUACCGUGUAGAUCUACAGCUGAAAUGAAAUGAAGUGGAAGCAUAUUUUUGUUGGAAUUCCUAGUGUUUUCAAUGCUUUCGUUAUAGUUUUGUAAGUUUUUUAAUUAAUGAACUGUUAGGCCUAAGUUUAUUUGUUUGAACUAUUAAGUGUGUGUUUGUGUUUAUUGUAACGAUUUCUGGUGUUAGUUAGCUUUUAAAAUUUUAAAAGGGGACGGAUUAGGACUGAUUUUGAGAAGGCCGUUUGGACUGUGUUACGAAAUGCAUAAGCAUUAGUUGUGGUUUGUUUCAAUCCGUAGAAUUGCUGGACAUUUGAAUUAAUUGAAUAAUUCAGUUUUCCAGGUCUAUUUCUUUCUUA